rnacentral:piRNA from 1 species
UGCUCGACACCUGAGUCUACCUCACUUACAAU